UACGUAGGGUGCAAGCGUUAUCCGGAAUUAUUGGGCGUAAAGAGCUCGUAGGCGGUCUGUCGCGUCUGCUGUGAAAUCUGGGGCUCAACCCCCAGCCUGCAGUGGGUACGGGCAGACUAGAGUGCGGUAGGGGAGAUUGGAACUCCUGGUGUAGCGGUGGAAUGCGCAGAUAUCAGGAAGAACACCGAUGGCGAAGGCAGAUCUCUGGGCCGUAAGCUGACGC
rnacentral:rRNA from 1 species